CGAACGCUGGUAGCGUGGAUUAGGCAUGCAAGUCGAACGGGAUCCGGGAGGUAGCAAUACUUCCUGGUGAGAGUGGCGGAUUGGGGAGGAACACGUGAGCAACCUGCCUUGGAGUCGGGGAAAACCGUUGGAAACGACGGCUAAUACCGGAUGUGGCGCCCGAUGACAUCAUCGGAGCGCUAAAGGGGGCCGCAAGGCUCUCGCUCCUUGAGGGGCUCGCGCACCAUCAGCUUGUUGGCGGGGUAACGGCCCACCAAGGCCUACGGUUAGCUGGUCUGAGAGGAUGACCAGCCCCACUGGGACUGAGAUACUGCCCAGACUCCUACGGGAGGCUGCAGUCGAGGAUCAUUUGCAAUGGGCGAAAGCCUGACAAUGCGACGCUGCGUGGAGGAUGAAGGCCUUCGGGUUGUAAACUCCUGUCAUGGGGGAACAGGCGAGGGGAGUCAAUACCUCCCUUAGUUGAGUGUACCCCAAGAGGAAUUGGCGGCUAACUCUGUGCCAGCAGCUGC
rnacentral:rRNA from 1 species